GUGAGUAAUAACGAAUGGCGAGAAGUCAGCAGAAGCCAUAGUAAACCAAUAAAUGCAUUUGUUGGCGAAGGGC
rnacentral:ncRNA from 1 species